AAAAGUAGAUAACUUAAAAUAAUAUCAUUGAUAUAGUGGAUUUUUGGACCAAACCUUAGCAUUCAUUUGAGUAGGGUAAAGUUGAAAAUGAAAACAAAACAAGCACAGUAUGGGGAAAUAUAUUUAUUCAACAAAGUGGCAGAUAUUUUGUGAUCUAAGAAUAGGACAUCUUUGUAAUGAGGCUAGUUUUUAUCUCAUCUCAGGAGGAGUUCAAAUCAAUCAACGCUGGGGCAUAAAUCAUUUUCUGAACCUGUCUGUCUGUCUAUGUAGAAUAUAUUAACACUGUUUGCACUAUUGUCCACUGCAUCGUCACUGUAUUGUCCACUGCAUCGUCGACGCGAUCGUCCGUUGCCAGGCAACGGACGACGCGAUCAUCUGUUGCCAGGCAGGUUUGGAAUGGAUUACGUAUGGAUGACGUGCCCGGUACAAAUUUGGCAACCGGUACAAACUUGGCAACCGGUACAAAUUUGGCGUGACAGCGGCAUGGAAAUCUACACUUCAGCAUUCCCCGCGAAGUUGUGAAGAGCCCAUGCAAGUGAACGGAGCAUUCAGAGACUCUGACCAGCUGCAAUAGCCAUCAGGAACCGAUAGACCAAGGACGGCUUUGACAGAAGAGGCGAAGCAGAGGCUGUCUGAAGAGGUCUGCGACACCAUCCUGGCUCACACCAAAGCGAGGUUCACUUUCACUGGCCACCUUGUGAAUGCUACCUUAGUACAAGGAAAUAUGUUUGAAAGGUACUGCCAUUCAUUUCCUGCUGAUGCUCUGAAUGCCACUGUGGAGGCAUAUCCCACGCUGAACAAGGCAAAGCUCAAGACGGAACUGUCUCUGAUCUAUGAGAAUCCUGAAUCAAGGCUUGCUGUGGUGCACUGGCACUGUACCAGGUUAUCAUGAGCUACAACCUCCAGGUGACAUUCUCUGAGACUGAAAUGCAGAGGACUACUGUGUGGUGUGCUCCUUUGCUGAAAAAAUGCAGAUGAGAGCAUGUUUGAAAUGGUAAAGUAUAACAUAAAACAUGUCCUUUGUAUUAAUAAUUGACACAAAAAUGUGUGUGCAUAUAACCAUACAAUGUAUCGCAUGUAAAUUGUAAUUCUCUUUUAAUUGUUUUUUUUU
ensembl:lncRNA